UACGAAGGGGGCUAGCGUUGCUCGGAAUCACUGGGCGUAAAGGGCGCGUAGGCGGCCUUCUAAGUCGAACGUGAAAUCCCCGGGCUCAACCCGGGAACUGCGUCCGAUACUGGAAGGCUUGAAUCCGGGAGAGGGAUGCGGAAUUCCAGGUGUAGCGGUGAAAUGCGUAGAUAUCUGGAGGAACACCGGUGGCGAAGGCGGCAUCCUGGACCGGCAUUGACGCUGAGGCGCGAAAGCCAGGGGAGCAAACGGG
rnacentral:rRNA from 1 species